rnacentral:rRNA from 1 species
AGGGUUUGAUCAUGGCUCAGAUUGAACGCUGGCGGCAGGCCUAACACAUGCAAGUCGAGCGAGAAAGGCCUUCGGGCUGAGUACAGCGGCGGACGGGUGAGUAACGCGUAGGAAUCUACCUGGUAGUGGGGGACAACUUGGGGAAACUCAAGCUAAUACCGCAUACGCCCUACGGGGGAAAGCGGGGGAUCUUCGGACCUCGCGCUAUCAGAUGAGCCUGCGUUGGAUUAGCUUGUUGGUGAGGUAAAAGCUCACCAAGGCGACGAUCCAUAGCUGGUCUGAGAGGAUGAUCAGCCACACUGGGACUGAGACACGGCUCAGACUCCUACGGGAGGCAGCAGUGGGGAAUAUUGCGCAAUGGGCGAAAGCCUGACGCAGCCAUGCCGCGUGUGUGAAGAAGGCCUUAGGGUUGUAAAGCACUUUCAAUUGGGAAGAAAGGUUGUACGUUAAUAGCGUGCAGCUGUGACAUUACCUUUAGAAGAAGCACCGGCUAACUCCGUGCCAGCAGCCGCGGUAAUACGGAGGGUGCGAGCGUUAAUCGGAAUUACUGGGCGUAAAGCGCGCGUAGGCGGUUUGUUAAGUCGGAUGUGAAAUCCCUGGCUCAACCUGGGAACUGCAUUCGAUACUGGCAAACUAGAGUAUGAGAGAGGGAGGUAGAAUUCCAUGUGUAGCGGUGAAAUGCGUAGAUAUGUGGAGGAAUACCGGUGGCGAACGCGGCCUCCUGGGCUCAAUACUGACGCUCAGGUGCGAAAGCGUGGGGAGCAAACAGGAUUAGAUACCCUGGUAGUCCACGCCGUAAACGAUGUCUACUAGCCGUUGGGAGACUUGAUUUCUUAGUGGCGCAGCUAACGCACUAAGUAGACCGCCUGGGGAGUACGGCCGCAAGGUUAAAACUCA